GUGAAUCAUCGAAUCUUUGAACGCAAAUUGCACUCCCUGGUAUUCCGGAGAGCAUGCCUGUUUGAGGGUCAGUUUUAAUAUAAAUCGGUGUGGUUGGUUCCUUUUUUGGUGACGCACCGGAUUUGGGUCGUCUUGCACUCGGUUAAGUGACCUAAUAUUUUGCAUGAUUUUUUUUGAAUGUAUUUAAAUGAUUU
rnacentral:misc_RNA from 1 species